rnacentral:lncRNA from 10 species
GAUUGUGCAGCCCCUCCCCAACCGGCCGUUGGGAAUCUUCGCAGCAGCAGAACCCGCUGCCUCCAGGUCCGACCAGACCUGCAUAGGUAGAGAGUCCCCGCACAGGGCGGCCAGCAGAGCUACCCAGCUGCCCCAGGGCCUCGGGACCCCUGGGCCUGGGACCCAGGCCAGACCCUGACUCAUUCGGUGAUCUCACAGGACUCCUCCCACCCCAAGACCCUUUCAGGGACCCUGCCUCGAACUCCACGACAUGGGAGGCAGGGGCGGGCCUUUUGCAGGGGAAGGACUCCCCCAGCAGGACGUUUACUGAAUCUGGAGGGAGUCGCCCUGCAGAUAUCCCGCGGAAGCCGGAGGAGACCCAGGUGCGCCCCACCGGCUAGCUGCGCCUGCGGGUGCCCAAAUUGGUGUCCGGGCCAUCCUCACCGCAGUGACUCCUCCGCAGCGCCAACGCACUCCAUUUUCCUUCCACCCUGCCGGUGGGGGGCGUUUGCUUGUUCUCACUCUGCAGCCGCAGCCAGUGGCGCCGCUACCAAGGUCCCCGCCUCGCCAUCCGGGUCCUGCCUGAGCAUCCUUAUUGGUGCUCAGGGCUAGGCGUGCAUUGCUGCUAGGGGCGCGGAAAGGUUUAUCGUGGGUGGAUGCUGCCCGGGGCUUGAGUGGUUUUUAGAGGUCUUGAGUGGCUCACUCUCCAAUCAGCGCUUUCUAGAGACAGCGUGGUCAGCGUACUUGCUUACUUUCAGGAUUGCGAGACGUCUUUAACCCUUGCUGAUCGGCUGACGCUGCAGCUUCCUGUGGCUUCCUGCUCAUUUCCCGCAAGAUAGCACUGAUAGGCAAUUCCAUUUUGGAAAAUUUAUCCUGAGGAAAUAAAUAAAGAUGUAAACAGAGAAUAACUUACAGAUGUGACGUUUGUGAUCGUUAAAACUGGAAACAGCGCAAGAGUGGACGAUAGGGGAUGAGAGAGCCACACAGCGCAUAGAAGAUGAUCAGUCUGAAGAGAGGGUUUUCAGACAUGCAAUUAACUGCUAUUCACUGUACUUCAUUUUAACUGCAAACUAGCAGUCUCUUUCCCCAGGAAAAAAGAGGUCAACUCGGAGGAGCCAGGGAUUCAGCCCACUCUGGACAACACUCAGAGCCAUGGCACCUACCUGUAUGAAAAAAAAUUGUUAAGCAGCUGCCACUCCUAGUUACUGGCCUCUGCUCGGUGACUGAUGCACUUCUAACAUCCUUGUCCCAGGAUAAAGACCUUGUAAUGGAGAAAAAAGAUGGCAGGGAUCCUUUCCAUGGAAUUUCGGCUGUUGUCUAGUGGACCUUCCAGGAAUUGUCUGAUUCUAUGGGAGUGCGCAACUUUGACUGUUCAGUUGGGCCAAUUGGCAACACUGUAGAGACGGAAACUAACUUGUGGAGGGCUGAGGGUGAUACAGACAUUUUCUGUCCGUGGUAAUGCAAAAGGUGUUCAUAGCAAUGCAAAUGGAUUUUAUCCAAUGGGGGAGAUAAAUAUUUGAACGGGCUCUCUUGUUAAUUACUAGUUAAUCAAAAUAUUUGACAUGUAUUCAUUCUAUAUUUAUAGGGGAGUCAUGAUUCUACCUUUUUGGAAAUGACCCUCUAGCAGUUUUAUUGGUCCUAUGAGAUACACAGUAGAUUCACCAGCCAGAGCCAGAUGAGCUGCACAGUUGCCAAAGGGAACUUCAGAUGCCACCAGAGCCUCAGCUCUGUCCUCCCUCACCUCCCAAGAAAGCCUGGAUCUUUGAGUUGUGUUGAUGGGCAUAUUCGUGUUUGCCACUUGAAGGAGUAAGAGGCCCGCGUGGAUCUGGAGGCAAGUGGCUGUGCCCUCCUGCAAUCUGCUCACCUGCAGAAAUGCUCGCGUAGGGCAGCUCUCAAUUUUCUGCCACCUCCUCAGCUUUUUCUGUGAAACAGAAGUUGGUUACUUUGGAUGAAAAUUAUCUUUCAUAUAGGUGGUUGGUACACGAAGCAAUAGUGACAAAUAAAACUCUGUGUGCGUGCUUCUGUUUUGUCAUGCAAUGAAAAGUAGUUUUGUUCCAGAAUAUGAAUGAACACAGUGAAUGAAGGUCUAAAGAAGUGAAUGUUAUUUGCCUUGGUUUAUAAUACCUGAGUCUGAAAAGAGACAUGAAGUAACUUAGAUCUUAGCAAAGUUUCCUCACUUUUGAUGGGCUUGCCGCCUUGGCUUACUGGUCACCGCCUUCAUCUACAGCAGGGGUCCCCAAUCCCCGGGCUAUGGUCCAGCAACAGUCCAUGGCCUGUUAGGAACCGGGCCACAUAGCAGGAGAUAAGCGGUGGUUACAGCUGCUCCCCAUCACUCACAGUACUGCCUGAGCUCUGCCUUCUGUCACGGUGGCAUGAGAUUCUCACAGGAGUAUGAACCCCUAUUGUAAACUGUGCAUGCAAGGCAUCUAGGUUGUAUGCUCCUUAUGAGAAUCUAAUGCCUGACAAUCUGUCACUCUCUCCCAUCACCCCCAGAUGGGACCAUCUAGUUGCAGGAAAAUAAGCUCAGGCCUCCACUGAUUCUAUAUUAUUGUGAGUUGUAUAAUUAUUUCAUUAUAUAUUACAAUGUAAUAAUAAUAGAAAUAAAGUGUACAAUAAAUGUAAUGUGCUUGAAUCAUCCAGAAACCAUCCCCCCAUCCCAGUCCGUGGAAAAAAUGUCUUCCAUGAAACCGGUUCCGGGCGCCAGAAAGGCUGGGGACCACUGACCUGCAGCACAAAGGCUAUUCUUUACCUUCCUUGUGGUCUGCCUGACAGCAAAAGUGUGUGUCUUGCCAGAAAAAUUUCUGUGCCUUAUGCUGACUUCAUUCAGUCCUUGAGUAUUUAAACAAAACAAUACAAAAACUCACUUGUGAAAGAGAUGAUUCUUUAAACUCAUGUCACCUUCUGUUUACUUUUACAUUUGUUUGCAUUAUUAAAAGAGUAAGCAAGAAUUAUUUCUUCAGCACCCAUGAUAUGCUCUGAGUCAAGUGCCUAAAUCUUCUCUGACAACUCUUUUGAUUUUUCCUUCUAGAGAUCAGAUCCUAAAUAUAGAAAGAGUAAAAGAAAACUUUUUAUCUUGAACUAAAACAUUCUUUGAAACUUCCCAGAGGGCCCCUGGAAAUUCACGAGAUUUGUACUUUCACCCUAUGAAGCAAGAGCAAGAGAGGCCAGAAGUAAUUAUGUUUAUUAUUCUUUAAUCAGCAUCUGAAGAGAUGCUCAGCCUCCCUAGGUUAAGUUUGUAUCAGUAAACUCAUUAUAAAUAGUUCAGACACUGCACACUUUGUAGGAAGGCCCUGAAGCUUUGCCAGUGCCCUCGUCGCCGUCCAUUGUAUGCUUUACCUUUAGUGAGACACUGAUCAAAAUGCUUAUGAAAUAGUUAUUUCCCAGUAGAGAAUCUUACUUUCCUGCGGUUGCUGUAAUAAAUUAACCAACAGUCAACUACCAGUAGUUUUGUAUUUACUCUGAUGUGCACCUGGGACUCUGCUGUAAGCCACUGGUGAGCGGCUGUGCCUUCCACAAGGGGCAGCCUCAGAGGCUCAAGAGGACAUGCAGGGGCUCUAAGCUGAGGAUGCUACAGUGAAUCACCUCGCGGGGACACGCUCCUGAGCGGACCUCACUUAGGCCACCUUCAGAUCAUCCAUCAGACGGAGUCAUGACUUCUAGGCCUCUAAGCUCAGAGCAGAGGCUCCCUAAAAGUUCUCUCUUGACUGGAUCCAGAGAACAGGAAUUAUUACUUAGGAUUGAAUGAGGCAAUUUUGUCUUGGUUAUUUUUUGGAAUAUUGCUGAUGUUGCUUUGAUGUUCUUUCAUUUCUAGAUCUGUGAGGAAGCUCCUUCUCUUCCUUUUUAACCUACAAUUUAAUAGACUUUGCUUUUGUCAAUUGAAAAGAAACAUUUGUAAAAUAGUUUCUUAUUUUCACUAACCCUCCAGAACUCAGAAAAUGACUUAGUCUUAAGUUUUCAUGGA